UGGGGAAUAUUGCACAAUGGGCGCAAGCCUGAUGCAGCCAUGCCGCGUGGGUGAAGAAGGCCCUAGGGUUGUAAAUCCCUUUCAGCGGGGAAGAUAAUGACGGUACCCGCAGAAGAAGCCCCGGCUAACUCCGUGCCAGCAGCCGCGGUAAUACGGAGGGGGCUAGCGUUGUUCGGAAUCACUGGGCGUAAAGCGCGCGUAGGCGGAUCGGUUAGUUGGGGGUGAAAUCCCGAGGCUCAACCUCGGAACUGCCCUCAAUACUGUCGAUCUCGAGUCCGGGAGAGGUGAGUGGAAUUCCUAGUGUAGAGGUGAAAUUCGUAGAUAUUAGGAAGAACACCAGUGGCGAAGGCGGCUCACUGGCCCGGUACUGACGCUGAGGUGCGAAAGCGUGGGGAGCAAACAGGAUUAGAUACCCCCGUAGUCC
rnacentral:rRNA from 1 species